CCUACUCAUUGCUUUCGGGAGGCCAACCAAGUGGCUGACCAUCUUGCUAAGUUUGCCUUGUCAAACCGUGUCAACAGGAUUUUCCUCGACUUUCAACAGCUUCCUAGUGGUGCCAAAGGCCCAUUCAUCUUGGACAGAUUGCAAAUGCCUACCAAUAGAACAAAAUAUGAUAAAGGCAAAUUUUUUUGUUAGUUGAAUAGGCUUAGCAGAUCUUUGCUUUGGUGAAC
rnacentral:lncRNA from 1 species